rnacentral:misc_RNA from 1 species
AACUUUCGGCAAUGGAUCUCUUGGUUCUGGCAUCGAUGAAGAACACAGCGAAAUGCGAUAAGUAAUGCGAAUUGCAGAAUUCAGUGAGUCAUCGAAUCUUUGAACGCACAUUGCGCCCUGUGGUAUUCCGCAGGGCAUGCCUGUUCGAGCGUCAUUUCAACCCUCAAGCCUCGCUUGGUGUUGGGCCCCGCCCGCUGCGGCCGGCCCCAAAGUCAGUGGCGGCACCGUACGGUCCUAAGCGUAGUAACAACUCUCGCUCUCGGGCCCUGCGGCUGCGCGCCAGAACCCCAACUUUCUAUGGUUGACCUCGGAUCAGGUAGGGAUACCCGCUGAACUUAAGCAUAUCAAUAAGCGGAGGCU